AGAGUGAACGCUGGCGGUAGGCCUAACACAUGCAAGUCGAACGGCAGCACGGUAAGAGCUUGCUCUUAUGGGUGGCGAGUGGCGGACGGGUGAGGAAUACAUCGGAAUCUACCUUUUGGUGGGGGAUAACGUAGGGAAACUUACGCUAAUACCGCAUACGCCCUUCGGGGGAAAGCCGGGGACCAGCAAUGGCCUGGCGCUGAUAGAUGAGCCGAUGUCGGAUUAGCUAGUUGGUGAGGUAAUGGCUCACCAAGGCGACGAUCCGUAGCUGGUCUGAGAGGAUGAUCAGCCACACUGGAACUGAGACACGGUCCAGACUCCGUACGGGAGGCAGCAGGUGGGGAAUAGUUGGACAAGU
rnacentral:rRNA from 1 species